rnacentral:lncRNA from 1 species
GUGGCUUGGACAGUUGCUCCCAAAUGUUCUUUGCGGCCUCAAAGGAUGGCAUUUCCUCAGAUGAUUGAGUCUCCCUUGAGCGGCUGUGAGUAUUUGGCUGCUUGCCGAUGUCAUUUGUUCGUCAAUCGACAUGAUUUCUUUAGAUGUUCUUCAAAAGAGAAAGAGAUGAAAGGUAGAGAUUGUCUCACUGGACGUGUCAAACUGUUCACACGAGAUUUUGAAGAAAUGUAUUUCGUGGAGUUGAACUUUAUAUAUUAAAGAAUAUUGUGAAUACAACCUCUAGUAUUUACUCUUUUGAUGUUUUUUCUCGAAUACAAGUUAAAACUUAGAACUUUUUUAUUUUCGAUCUUCAGGAUGUUGUAGUUGCACGUUGAUUUGAACUUCGAUCUUCUGGAAUCCAAGAAAAGUUUUUUUCCAAGUCUUCAAUCUUUCAGAAGUUGUUGAUCUCGAAGUUGAUACAAACUUGCACGUCUUGAGAGCUUGUAGAAGUUUGAAUCUUCAAUUCUUCAGAGCUUCAAUUCUUCUUUCAACCAAAGACCCCUUUUAAAAUGAAUGACAGUGGUCUCUAUUUAUAGACAUUUCAUGGGCUUUAGGUGAAUUGGGGUCAUUUGCUUACUGGGCUUGAACUUGAGCCCAUUUGCUUGUUGGGCUUGGAUUUGAGCCCAUUUGCGAGAUGAGUUUGGACUUGGGCCCAUUUGAUUCUUGGACUUGGGCUUGAGCCCAUUUGUUUUGUUGGAUCUGAAUUGGGUUGGGUUGAGUAACUUAAUUAUCCAAACUCAAACAAAAGUAUAAUCAUCAUUAUUUACUGUGAUGAUGUGACGUAAUUUAAUUGGUCAAAAUUUCUUGCUCAACACUCACAUUUUUGUAUUGUUUUCCAUUCUAAAAUAAUUCAUCCAUGAUUUAUAGAGAUUUAUCUCUUACAUAAUUUAAAGCAUAGUAUUAGAAUAAUGUUGAAAAUCAUUUUAUCUAUUUGUUAAACUUGUUAAUAAUCCUAUAUGAAAUUUUCAAAAAAUUGAUAUUUUAUAUAUUGAAUAUAUGUAAAAAAGAAUAGAAAAAAACUGUCACAAAUAAUAAAUUCGACAAAAUAUUUACUAGAUUAUAUUAAUAAUAGAUAUUGAUAAGCCCUUAUAUGUUUAGUGACAUUGAUCGAUCUAUCGAAUAUCAAAUUUUAAAAUACCUUAUAAAUAUUUUAAUUAAUUUGGCUAUUUUUAAUAGUAAUAAUAAUAAAAAAAAACAAUAUAACACAAACAAUUAUACUUAUAUUGUACUCCAAAAUUACAAGUUCCUAAACAUAAAUUAGAGUUAGUUGGAGUUUGGUUUAGAGAUAAAAUUUAAAACGGGAAAAAGAAAGAAGAAGAAAAAAGAAAGAAAUGAAAAGAAGUAAGCCUGAUGUCACAUGUGAAGCUUUGACCCCAAAAAUCACCCGCAAAAUUGCGCCAAUACGUGCCACGACUCCUUUAGCAUGGCCCAGGAGUAGCCCAACGUGGUCCCGAGACAGCCCAAGGGUGACCAGGACAUAUGCCCACGACAUUGGCAGGCACCUCUCGAGGACAGCUCACAGGCCCCGCACGCGUGCCACGAAAAGGGUUGCUUGCAAAGAGUACAACUAAUGCUCGAGCGGGGAUUCAACUGGUAUGCCUCCCCUAUAAUACAUUUUGAACAUUUUCAGCUCUGGCAGGCUUGCAUAUGAAAAUGCCGAAACGUCACACCCAAGCUUUAUGACCUAGAAUGAAAAGCAAACACCUAUGGUGGGAUUUUUAAUUUCCAUAUUAAUCAAUUAACAUGCAUACAAUACAAUAUAACCUUUAUAUCAUACAUUUUAAUGCAUGAACAUGUUAACCUAUGGUGGGAUUUUAAAUCUAUAUGACAUUUCAAAAUGCACAUACAAAUUUAAAGUAAUUUAAUCAUACAUCACAUGCAUAAAUAAAAAAAAACACCCUAAAAUGGACUGAUUUUUGGCUCCUAAAUUAAGCUAAGUACUAAAUUAUUACAUAAUUACUUUGGUGUAGUACAGAACCACUCCCAAAAACUUUGAACCGGCUGAAAAACCAACCGAAACCGCUUGAACCGGCCCAGGCGCACACGGGUCGGGCGAAGGCAGGCGCGGACGCGCGGCGCGCGCGCAUGCGGCACGGGCGCGGGCGCGCGGGCGCAUGCGGGCGCAGGAGGGCGCGCGGGCGCGUGCGGGUCGCGAAGCGGGUCAAGGCGGGUUUUCGGGUCUGUGACCUUCUUUUCUUCAUUUUUUUUCAAUUCUCUCACCCGGUUGAACCAGUUACAGCCUAACUUCAACUCUAAUGACUUUUUUUUUUUUUAAAAAUUACAAACACUUUGCAACAAUAAAAAUAAGCCAUUAACAAGGCUAAUUACAAUAAUUAGAACAAAAACACUUAAUCUAGAGCCAAAAUCAUAAUAUAUCCAUUUUAGUUCAAACCAAAAUUUAUCUAAUAAAUAUGAACCCACCACAUGCAAUUGGGUAAAAAUGAAGCAUGCUCUGAUACCACAUGAUAGAACUAAGUCAUGCACAGCGGAAAAAGAAUCGAAUUUCUACCCUAAUUGCCACAAUUAACAUGUAACCAUAAACUAAUCAAAUUAGGGUUUUAAGAAAUAUUACCUUUGAAGCUUUCAAAAGGUUUGAUAUCUUCUUACCAAUUCUAACCGAGACCACCACUAGUACUCAACUGCUAUCCUCUAGACAAAGAACCGGGUUGUGGGACCCAAUUUUGGUGUAGAAAGUAAUGGAGAUAAAAUGAGAUUGGAAGCUUUCUUUUUUCUUUUGUUGAGAUGAUGAAAAUGAUAAAAGAGGCAAAAGUUUUUUCAACAUUUGAAAACACCUCUAUUUAUAACCUAAUUACAUGAAAAAAUGCAUGCAAUUCAUUUGCCAAAUCUCAACACCUAAUGUUCCACUAACAAUUAGUGGAACUUAGUGGGCUAGGUGUCUAUAUCUCAUAUAGCCACAUAUCCCACUAAGAGUUAGUGGGAUUAUCCAACAAAAUGUUGGAUUUUCCCACUAACUUAGUCCAAGGGUAAAAUGGUCAUUAGAUAUUUCUAGUCAAAAGUCAAACUUUGACUUUUCUUAGUCAAAAGUCAAUAUUUUGACUUUUUACCAUUUUGUCCGUCUUGACUAAUUCCAACCUCCCGAGCAUGAAUCCGCAUUCAUUUUUCCAAAAUUUAAAUCACAUUUGAAUAUAAGGCCGGUCAAAGUUUGACUUUUCAAAGUCAAAAGUCAACAUUUUGACUUUUUACUAUUUUUG